UACGGGGGGAGCAAGCGUUGUUCGGAUUUACUGGGCGUAAAGGGCGCGUAGGCGGUAGCACAAGUCAGUUGUGAAAUCUCCGGGCUUAACUCGGAAAGGUCAACUGAUACUGUGCGACUAGAGUGCAGAAGGGGCAACUGGAAUUCUCGGUGUAGCGGUGAAAUGCGUAGAUAUCAGGAGGAACACCAAUUGCGAAGGCAGCUCGCUGGGACGUUACUGACGCUGAGACGCGAAAGCGUGGGGAGCAAACAGG
rnacentral:rRNA from 1 species